rnacentral:rRNA from 1 species
UAAAACGUAGGGUGCAAGCGUUGCUCGGAAUUACUGGGCGUAAAGGGCGUGUAGGCGGCUGUGCAAGUCGCGUGUGAAAGCCCCCGGCUCAACCGGGGAAUUGCGCGCGAAACUGCUCGGCUUGAGGACGGUAGGGGACAGUGGAACUCCAGGUGGAGCGGUGAAAUGCGUAGAGAUCUGGAGGAACGCCGGAGGCGAAAGCGACUGUCUGGGCCGAUCCUGACGCUGAGGCGCGAAAGCUAGGGGAGCAAACGGGAUUAGAUACCCCGGUAGUCCUAGCCGUAAACGAUGGGCACUAGCUUGGGGGGACUUCGGUCUUCCCUUGCGUAGCUAACGCGUUAAGUGCCCCGCCUGGGGAGUAUGCGCGCAAGCGUA